GCCUGCAAAACGAAAGAAAACUCUAUUUUGUUAACUCAGAUGAAAGAAGGUGUCAGAACUGUUUUAAACGGUACACGGGCGGUACUUGUGGUAGUUAAGCAAGUGAAAGACGGACGAUAGAGGCGUAUCGCGGUCGCGGUGAUAAAGUGGUUAUUGCGAUCAGGUACACAGGUGAUAUUUUACCGGUAAGAUGCUGGACCUACCUUCGAGCUGGGAAGCGACGAACUGACCAUAUCCAACGAAGUCUGAAAAGACACCGUCUGGAAAGAAUUUCAUGAGUUUACCAUCAGUAAUAGAUUUCCAACAGUUUAUACAAAGAAAUGGAUACUCUGUGAAAUUUCCCUUGUAUAGCGAACCAAAAGCUAUGAAUAAAUAAUAAAUUAGAGGGGCUCGAAUAUAAACAUCUUAACGAAGACUAAAUAAACAGCCUUUUCAGAUGUC